rnacentral:rRNA from 1 species
UACGAAGGGGGGCUAGCGUUGCUCGGAAUCACUGGGCGUAAAGCGCACGUAGGCGGAUUGCUAAGUCAGGGGUGAAAUCCUGGAGCUCAACUCCAGAACUGCCUUUUGAUACUGGCGACCUUGAGUCCGGGAGAGGUGAGUGGAACUGCGAGUGUAGAGGUGAAAAUUCGUAGAUAUUCGCAAGAACACCAGUGGCGAAGGCGGCUCACUGGCCCGGUACUGACGCUGAGGCGCGAAAGCGUGGGGAGCAACAG